GGCGGGGUUUAGGCAUGCAAGUCGAGGGAGAAAGCCCUUCGGGGUGAGUACACGGCGCAAGGGUGAGUAAUGGCUAGUUAAUGUACCUCGAGGACCUGGAUAAUUCCCCGAAAGGGGUUGUAAAACGGGAUGAGACCACGUGUACCACGGUGCAGGUGAUCAAAGUCGUGGGAUCCUUCGGGACCACGAGCCUCGGGAGCGGACUAGCUCCGAUUAGCUUGUUGGUGGGGUCACGGCCUACCAAGGCGAUGAUCGGUAGCCGGCCUGAGAGGGUGUUCGGCCACACUGGGACUGAGACACUGCCCAGACUCCUACGGGAGGCUGCAGUCGCGAAUCUUCCACAAUGGGCGCAAGCCUGAUGGAGCCACGCCGCGUGCAGGACGAAGGCUUUAGGGUCGUAAACUGCUGUCGAGAUGGGGGAAGGGCGUACGGUGAAUAGUCGUGCGCUUGACUGCCAUCUGAAGGAAGCACCGGCUAAACACGUGCCUGCAGCCGCGGUGAUACGUGUGGUGCAAGCGUUGUUCGGAAUUACUGGGCAUAAAGGGUGCGUAGGCGGCCCGUUAAGUCAGGGGUGAAAGCCGUUGGCCCAACCAACGAAUUGCCUCUGAUACUGAUGGGCUCGAGUGUGCUAGGGGUGAGCGGAACGAGUGGUGUAGCGGUGAAAUGCGUAGAUAUCACUCGGAAGGCCGGAGCCGAAGGGGGCUCACUGGGGCACAACUGACGCUGAUGCACGAAAGCGUGGGGAGCAAACAGGAUUAGAUACCCUGGUAGUCCACGCCGUAGACGUUGAGCACUAGGUGGAUGG
rnacentral:rRNA from 1 species